AAAGAUUGCAAAAUAGAACUCAUGGAUGAUGGUUACCACAGAAAGGAAAUGAGCUGCAGUCCAGGAAGUUAACAUGAAUCUCCUGAGAUUGUUAGCUCCCUCGAGUAAAGCCUUGGUCACUACCUAGCAAUUACAGUUCUGAAGCAUGUGUGGCACACAUGAAGAUCACAAUCCUUCCAGGCUUUCAUAUCCUGUGUGGUUCUUGUCCAUAUCCUUUGACAAAUUUUUCACAGACUCUUCAUCUGAUGUGCUUCCUUAAACACCUAACGGACACCAGUGCAACGUUUUGGAUACUACAUGUCCGGCUGGGUUCAGAAGAGAUUAUGAAGUCAGUCCAAAAGAUACUUCAAGCAAGCCUGGUGGGAGCAGCAUGAUGACAUCGCCAGAAGUCAUUAAGCAGUCCAGCAGCCUCAGAGGCAUGAGUGAUCUCUCUCUGUGUACGCAUAUAUCCCCUACAUGAAGACUUGUAUGUGAAGACCCCUCUGCAUGUCAAUUCUUUCCACUAAGGUCCUUCAUGGGAGAUUAUCCUUUGGUUAGUGGAGAAAAUGAUUUGUUUUGUUGCUCCUUUUCUUAAAAUAUCACUUAAUUAAAUGUCUUUGCUUUGAA